UGAUGGAGCUGUAGGUGUCCCUGUUCACUGCAGGGGGUUGGAACAGAUGGUUUUUAGGGCCCCUUCCAACUCCAAUGAUUCUGAUUCCGAUUCUUUUACAGAGAAGCUGAUCUGGAUCCCACCACUGGAUUAGCAGAGCUGUGCCCCUUCAGUGUGUUGGUACAGCAUGAGAAACGUGUGAUAAAAGGCACAUAUUUUUGUAUCUGAGUCACCUCUUGCAAACAGAGCAUCACAUUAAUGUUUGUCUAGAAACACCUUCCCUCACAGUAGCCAGCCUUGACCCUUUCAGACGGCGGAGCUAUAAAAAUACAUCCAUAUAAUUUCAGUGGCUGUUUGUGCUGUCUGAACGGCUGCCAGGAGCCGCCUCGGAGCUGCUGCCUCUUGGGGCAAGGACACAAACAGGAGUCUGAACUAUGUCCUCCGCUUCCUCUUGGAGGGUAGAACUGACAAUUUUUAACAAAUUAGAGAGGUUGGCUGAUCACGGGCAGUUCUGUGAUCGGUGCCACGCGCCCGCCAAUGGGCAAGGGCUGUAAAUAAGCAGCACUGCCAUUAACCCAAUGGGGCAGAGCUGAUUUAUACAGGCUAAGGGCUGGGAUGGUUGGAUUUAUGUUGGGCAGUGUGACUCCUGACUCCCAGUUACGUCACUGGGCGCAGGGGAAAGAGAAAGCACAUCUGAGCAAAGGCAACCGCUCACCUUCACAGCUCAGUAUUGGCCCCUUAAUUUCCUACUGAUUAAACUGCAGGAAAACAAAAUCUGCUUUGCCUGGGGCAACUUGGCUUCUGCUCAAGAGCUUCCUCAUCAAAAUGAAAUAUCCUUUGCUGUGAAACAGUUAGCAGGAGGAUGAAUGUAGUUACAAAAGCAGCUAUUUGUAAAACCCAACCAGGGAGCAGUGAUCUGCUGCAAAAUACCAUUAUCUAGAGGGGAAAUCUCUGCAAGAGCCCUGGGGGUCAAAACUUCCCAUAAAGACCAAGUUUCCUUGGGGCUGCCUAUUUAUUGGUUUCCUUCAGCUGAACGUGUUUGCAUAUGGACCAUGCAGAUACAGACACCUUUCCACUGCUAAUGUGGUCCGUGGCUCAUCUAGCACGUGAGCAGACUGGGUUGGCAUGGGGCUGUUGGGCCCUCCAGCUCUUGUCCUGCUGGUGAACUUUAGUGCCCCCCAUCCCAGAGGCCCAUGCUAUGGAACUUAGUGCUUUUCAUCUUGCUCUCUUCAGAUUUGCGUUCCCUGUGCAGUUGAUGGCAUCUCAUUGGGAAGCGCAAUGCAGUGUUGUGACCCUUCAAAUGUCCCCUUACUGUCAUCAGCUGUCUUUGUGCUGGAAAACUCUGUGUGAGCCAAAAAAGCAACCGAAAUAAUCCCAUACAAUGGUGAAUUCACAGCAGGUUGUUUUAAUCCUUGGAAGUAGCCACAAGAGGGAGAUGUGAUUGGAUGUGCCAGAUCAAAGCCUUCAAUAUGCAGAAAUAUUGAGGAGUUGCACACUGAUUCAGAGAUCAUCAGAAAUCCAGGCAGAAAUGUCACUGUAGGACCACGCAGUUCCAGAGUCACCCGUGCUGAAUUUAGGAAGUACUUUUACCAUGGUCAAACUCCUACAGCACAGUGAUCAUUUUUUCCUGAAGCAUCCUUAGUCCCAUUGACAACCCAUUUUUUUCCCUGUGAGUUUUAAUGUCUGAACUACAUUAACUGCUCUGCGUGAAAGAAAGGAAAAUGUCUGCUUCCCCCAAACCCCAACAAAUGAAGAGUGAAAUUUUCAUUUCAAAUUGAUUUUAAACAAGUUUUUGAUCAGUGAACCAAAAAAUCAAUGAUUCAGACAGCAGAGCCGUAAUUAUCUCUCCCCCGAGGGCAGGCGGAUGGAGCGAUGCUGAAGCGUUUUGGAGCUCCUUACAAACAGGCACUGCAUUCUGCAGCCUGGGCUUUAGGCUGAAGCAAAAUAUGUUUUCUGAAGGUGAUCAAUCUGUCCUGUUUCCCAUGGCUGAGAAUCUCUUCCAGUAAAAAUAAACCUCCUCCUCUCCUCUCCUCUCCUCUCCUCUCCUCUCCUCUCCUCUCCUCUCCUCUCCUCUCCUCUCCUCUCCUCUCCUCUCCUCUCCUCUCCUCUCCUCUCCUCUCCUCUCCUCUCCUCUCCUCUCCCAUCCUCUUCUUUCUUUUUUUUUUUUCCUCCCAGUCCUCCAUAAAUGCUAAAAUAAAGAGAUUUGGUGAGCUGGAGUUUUGGGCAGGGACUUGUCAGCGCAGCUAGGGCUGCAGUGCUCCCCUAAGGGAGAAACAGAGGAAAACAGUGUUCUUCUCCUAGCACUGCUUCUGUUAGGUAAUUGCUCGUGCCGCAUCUGGCUCAGCCCAGUCAGUGAGUGCUCGGGGCUGCAAGACCUACUUACACACAAACAGACUGACAUCCAUCUGAGAGUCAUCGUGGGCACAGGGAAACAAUCCUCCCUGAAAUAAAAAGCCUUUUUUGCAGGGCACUGAAUAACCAUUUGGCAAACUGUGUGCCAGGCUGGCACUCACAUUAAUCUGCUUAGGUCAACUAACACAGUUGUGCAAGAGUAGAAAAUACCCGGUCAAGUAAAUUACAUCAUCCAGGGACAAGCUAUUCUAAAGAAAGCACACAUUAUAAGCUUGAGCUUAAUGUUCAGCUGAACAUUUCAGUGUAUUUGCAAGCAGGAGCAUAGGCUUGUUGCUUUCCUUGUGAAAAAAUGAGGGCUCUCUGAAGUUCUUUCUAGCAGAAGAGCAUUGGGCUCAAUUAAUCACCAGUCAACAUCCGGAAUGAAUUAUAAACCCCUUAUAUUUUUUCUCACAUUAGCAGUACCAGAUAUGGAAAAUCCCUGAUCCAGAAGGAAGGAGGCCCCAGCACUGCUGCCCAGAGCUGUGGGUGCCCCAUCCCCGGAGGUGCCCAAGGCCAUGGAUGGGGCCCUGGACAGCCUGAGCUGGGGGGGGGCACCCAGUCCAAGGCAGGAGGUGGAGCUGAGGGGGCUUUAAGGUCCAUUCCAACCCAGUGAUUCUGUGAUUCUUUGAUCCUGUGACUCUGAGAUGCUGCAUAACAUUGUGGACAAGAAACUUUCCCUGCUAAAAUUGGGGCUGACUUUGAAAUGUUUUACUCCUUCUACCAUCAGUACAUCUUUGUGACGACUUGCAUCAUUUGAUACUUGGUUAAAAUCUGUUGUUCUCUCUGCAGUCUUAAAUACAUUUUUAAAAACCGAAGUUUGAGGAGAUGAAGGAAUUUAGAAGCCAUAAGGGGGUCAAAAUGGAAGGUUUUGCCUUGCAGUGAAACCUGAGCUGCCAUCAUCCCAGCACGUCCAUAGGGCACCUUGGAAUCCUGUGCCCCCUUGGCAAGCACAGCGAUGGCCCCAGAAGAAAAACUGCACCCACAGCUGGGUUAUGGUUUUGCUUUUGCAGAAAGUGCUGUAUCAUGGAAGGAGCUCUCCUUCAGUUUUCUGAGGUUUUCUUGAAAGCUCUCCUCUUGCAAAGCUGCUCACUGUGGGUUGAGCCUUAGAUUGCAGUUUGGUCCCAAAUAUGCAAGUGUGUCAUAUAGGGAAUUCCCACAGAAUGGAAUAAAAGUAUAAAAUGUGGUUGGACUGAAACUAUAUUUAGACUUGGUGGCUUUUUAGCCCUGGUUGAACUUUGGCUCGUUAGAAAAUCAGAUUUGUGCUCAAAGUUUUCUUUUUUCUUCCCUUCCCCAAACGUGACUAACUGAGCCCCCAUAGCUUUAAGUACACUUAGAGAGACCAUGCGUUGUUAUCUCAUUUUGGAAUAACCUCUGUUUACCAGCUUUCCCUUCCAUCCCUUUUCAUCCUCUUUUUCCAUCUAAUUCCCCGUAACCUUGAUUCACUUCAGCUUAAACUCACAUGAAAAAAAAAAAGCCACACGAGCAACAAAAAAUAGGUAAAAUCUACGCAAGCGUAAUAGAGCCCUUCAGGAUUUUAUCUGCCUGCUCAUGAGUGGUAGCAGAAGGACUGUUAAGCUAACGUGAAUUUUAAAGCUGGGUAUUGUAUGUUGUACAUUGACUUCUACAGGGAAUGCAUGUGAUCAGUGGGAGCUGGGUGGACAAUCCAUCACUUUAAGGCUUAAUGCAGCUGAAGGGUCGAAGCAGGCAGCACUCAUCAGGGCUCUCACUCUGCCUGCUUCUCUCCAGCUCCUCCUGCCCCUCGUUCAUCUGUUCGAUCUCACUGCCACUCUCAGAGAUGUAACUUCACACCAGAGCUGCAGAUAACUGCAUCUAUCCGCUGUUGCCCGUUUUUUUUAAUAUCCGGUGGCUUUCCCUGAACUGCUGACGUCAGUGAAUCCCUGCACAGAGCAGCGCUGGAUGCAUUUUGUGAGCGUGAGCAGAGGCGUGCAGCUUCAGGGGCAGCUGGCAGCCCAUCAUGCUGCGGGUGACGGGGAGCAGAUCUUUCCUCUGACGGGUCUCUGCGGAAGAACUCAUGGGUUUUAGAGUGUUUCUGCCCUUGAAUGGGCAGCUGCAAACCCCCAACACCACCCAUCCCCUUCCCAGCCCGCAGUGUUACCCCUGUUCUGCUAUUUAUUUGCUCUUUCCAGCUGCAGGUCUCACACUUACCUGGCCCUGCCCUCUGCUCCAGCCCUGGGAAUCACAGAAUCAUUAAGGGUAAAAAGAUCAAUAACGUCUUCUAGUCCAACUAUCAAGCCAUGUCUGUGACCUCCCUAGACCAUGUCACUCAGUGUGACAUCUACCCUUCCCUUGGACACCUCCAGGGACAGUGAUUCCACCACUCCCUGGGCAGCCUGUGCCAAUGCCUCAGCAAAGGUGAGGUGCACCCCUCUGGGUUGCUAUGGGAGUUGCUCACCUUUUGCAUCCAGUGUGAUGUUAUGGUGCAGGCUGUGGCUCCUCAGCAGGUGCAUGGCUAUGGAGCAUGGCCAUGGCUCCUCAGCAGAUCCCCCCACCUCUCUGUGGUGCCUUCUCACUGGGAAGCAGAGCAGUCUGCUGUGGUUAACAGGAGGCACUGUGUUGGUAGCUCCUAUUUUAUUGCUUGUAGAUUUCCAUCCCUUUUCUGAAGCCACUUUGUCCUUGAGUCAUGUGUUCAUCAUCUCUCUGCUCACUGUCACCUCCAUCCUUUUCCCCAUCCCUUGUGCAGCUCAGGACUUUGGGGACUUCCCCAGGACAGCUCAGCAGGACGCCCAGUGAAAGGCUCUCUCCUCCCAAGCUCAACUGUUGCUUUUCACAGAAUUGUAGAAUUAUUCAGGUUGGAAAAGACCUCUGAGAUCCCCAAGGCCAACCCCAGCCCACCCCCACCAUGCCCGCUGCCCACAUCCCUCAGUGCCACAUCUCCACGGUUCUUGAACACCUCCAGGGAUGGUGACCCCACCACUCCCUGGGCAGCUGUGCCACUGCAUCACCACUCUCUUGGAGAAGAUGAUUUUCCUAACCAAAGAAAUUUUUCUACUAAAACAAGCUGGGAUACCAGGCCCCAACCCCGCUCCCACUGAAUUCUCACGACUUUCAAAUAGCUUAUUUCACCACAGAGAAAAUGAAGCUGUCCAUGUUGAUAUGUACAAGAAACAGAGCGGCAGAGGAGAAGCUUUUGCCUGCAAGCUCACACACUCAGCCAAACACAAAAUGUUUUGGAGAAUGGUCCCAUAUUGGUAUCUGGAGAGCUGAUGCUGUCAUCCGCCGCAGGGCCGAACCGGCCUCCUGGCCUCCAUCACACAGCCUCACACAGAGAGCUCAGGCACUGCAUAAAGGCCUGGGAUGGUGUUACAAGGGGACAUGAAGCCUCACGGGGUCUCUGAUGAGUGACAGAUGUUCUUGGCUCCUGAAAGCAGUCAGAAAAGGCAGAGGGCACUAUCAUAGCCAGGCCUGGCAGUCCUCUGCGACCUGUCAGCCAUUUUAUAACACAGGGUUGCUCAUGUCCUCACGCUUUAAUUGCUGUUUAGCAAAGAGGCGUUUGGGAGGAGUUUCCCCAGCAGAAAAGAUUAGAGAGGGCCACCAGAAGGAGAGAUAAUAAUCGAUGAGAUUGACUUUCUCUGGUCAGGGGUGUUGGCUAACUCCUGGAAACGCCAUUUUCCUCAUUCCCCUCCUAUGAGGCUGCAGAAGCACGGCCUGAUUUCUCCGACAACCAGCACUUCUGGCCACAUCCAGUCCCAGGACACCUCCCUGUGUCUAGCACAGGCCACAGCCCUGAGACCAGCAGCUGGGCUGUGUGUGUGGAGCAGAGUUUUUCAGG